UACGGAGGAUGCAAGCGUUAUCCGGAUUUAUUGGGCGUAAAGAGCGCGCAGGUGGUUGAUUAAGUCUGAUGUGAAAGCCCACGGCUUAACCGUGGAGGGUCAUUGGAAACUGGUCGACUUGAGUGCAGAAGAGGGAAGUGGAAUUCCAUGUGUAGCGGUGAAAUGCGUAGAGAUAUGGAGGAACACCAGUGGCGAAGGCGGCUUCCUGGUCUGUAACUGACACUGAGGCGCGAAAGCGUGGGGAGCAAACAGGAUUAGAUA
rnacentral:rRNA from 1 species